UCCGGAGGGCGCAAUAGUUGUUCGGAAUCAUUGGGCGUAAAGAGCGCGUAGGCGGCUUACCAAGUUGGGGGUGAAAUCCCGGAGCUCAACUCCGGAACUGCUUUCAAAACUGGUAGGCUCGAGUCCGGAAGAGGGGCGUGGAAUUCCCAGUGUAGAGGUGAAAUUCGUAGAUAUUGGGAAGAACACCGGUGGCGAAGGCGGCGCCCUGGUCCGGUACUGACGCUGAGGCGCGAAAGCGUGGGGAGCAAACAGG
rnacentral:rRNA from 1 species